rnacentral:rRNA from 1 species
UGGUGUCAGCCGCCGCGGUAAAACCAGCACCUCAAGUGGUCAGGAUGAUUAUUGGGCCUAAAGCAUCCGUAGCCGGCUCUGUAAGUUUUCGGUUAAAUCUGUACGCUCAACGUACAGGCUGCCGGGAAUACUGCAGAACUAGGGAGUGGGAGAGGUAGACGGUACUCGGUAGGAAGUGGUAAAAUGCUUUGAUCUAUCGAUGACCACCUGUGGCGAAGGCGGUCUACCAGAACACGUCCGACGGUGAGGGAUGAAAGCUGGGGGAGCAAACCGGAUUAGAUACCCGGGUAGUCCCAGCUGUAAACUAUGCAAACUCAGUGAUGCAUUGGCUUGUGGCCAAUGCAGUGCUGCAGGGAAGCCGUUAAGUUUGCCGCCUGGGAAGUACGUACGCAAGUAUGAAACUUAAAGGAAUUGGCGGGGGAGCACCACAAGGGGUGAAGCCUGCGGUUC